CACCAGCGCCUCGAGUGGGGAUCACGAUUAUUGGGUCUAAAGCGUCCGUAGCAGGCUUUGUAAAUGCUUUGUGAAAUCGGCAGGCUUAACCUGCCGGCGUGCAGAGUAGACUGCAGAGCUCGAGACCGGGAGAGGUUAGAAGUAUUCCUAGGGUACCGGUAAAAUGGGUUAAUCCUAGGAGGACUACCUAUGGCGAAGGCAUCUAACCAGAACGGUUCUGACUGUGAGGGACGAAAGCUAGGGGAGCAAAACGG
rnacentral:rRNA from 1 species